rnacentral:rRNA from 1 species
GACGAACGCUGGCGGCGUGCUUAACACAUGCAAGUCGAACGGUGAAGGGAUCAGCUUGCUGGUCCUGGGUGAGUGGCGAACGGGUGAGUAACACGUGAGUAACCUGCCCCCUUCUUCUGGACAACCGCAUGAAGGUGUGGCUCAUACGGGAUAUUCUGCGCCUGCUGCAUGGUGGGAGUGGGAUAGAUUUUGUUACGGUGGGGGAUGGGCUCGCGGCCUAUCAGCUUGAUGGUGGGGUGAUGGCCUACCAAGGCGGUGACGGGUAGCCGGCCUGGGGGGGGCGGCGGUCGCGGUGGGACUGCGACACUGCGCAGACGCCUAGGGGAAGCAGCCGUGGGGAAGAUUGCGCGGUGAGCGUAAGCCUGAUGGAGCGACGCCGCGUGAGGGACGGAGGCCGUCGGGUUAUGAACCUCUGUCGCUAGUGAAGCAGGCCUGUCCCUUGUGCGUGGGUUGACGGUAGCUAGAUAAGAAGCGCCGGCUAACUACGUG